AUGCCCCUCUGUGCGUUCAUGCAGAUGAAGGAAUUCGGUGCACAGAGGACCUGUGACCUGCCCAGGGCUGCAGGCAGCAGACGGCAGUCACGCCUGGUCUCCGCAGCCUCCAAGCCUCGGACAAGUGAAAUGGCAGAGACUGGCUAUUGUGCCUUUGGAGGGGAUUACUUUGAAUGGUCUGGAAAAGCUGAGAGGACACCAGGUCUGAUCCCUGUCCCCAGCCUACACUGUGAUGUCAUGGUUGGUAUAUUCUUAGUUAUCUCUUUCUUCCCUGGGACUCAUAGCCUACUUUUGCUCCCUUUUAAGUUAAAAACUAAACCUUAAUUAUACAGAGAGAAUCACUAGAUGGGACAUGAUUCGCCAAGAAAGUGGUGGGGGGGAGGGAGGGUGAUAACAACACAUUGACCAUCGAUAAAUCAGCUCCCAGGCUGUCCUGUCCUGUGACCUAUGUAAUGGGUAUUCUCUAGACCCUCAGCUAGGCAGAAAGCUCUUCAAGACUUGGGAUUUUUUCUUUCUUCCCUGCCCAGUCCCUGUCCCACUUCUCUCACACUUGGUACUAUUAAGCUCUUAAUAAUAACAAUGACAAACACUGGGCACCUGCUCUGUGCAGUCCAGGUGUUGAAGUUUCAUUCUGGUCGACACAGGCUGGGCCCCUGAAGACCUCUGUCUUCUCAGCUCCAACACUUCCCUCUCUGGGAUCCGACCACACCAGCCUUUUUUCCGUUUCUUGAACCCACUGAACC
rnacentral:lncRNA from 1 species